GCUUCAAAUUUUCCUUAAUCUUUCCUUAUUAUUUAAUUUUUUUUAUAACAAAACCUUUUGUUUUAAAAAAAAAACUUUAACUUCUUAACCUUCUCUGCUAGGGUUUCACCCAAACCUCAUGUUGCCGCCGGACCAUCUCCACUUCUGGUGGCUUACAGCGCGCACGCAGGCCUGGUACGGAGGCACUAGGUGGUCGUACGGUGCUGCGCUGGCGGUGAGGACGAAGGGCUGCUUGGUGGCUACUGCGGCGCCUAGUAGAAGCCCUAGGGUUCUGAGUGUUUAACGUUUUUGGGCUUGUCGGGCCGUGUAAUUUUGGGCUAGGUUUUAGGUUUUUUUUUUGGGCCGUAUCGGGUCAACGUAAUUGGGUUUUGUAACUGAGCUGUUAAGGGACUGUUUAAAAUUGGACUCUAUAUUUUAUUUGGUUUUAUCAUGA